ACGGUCCUAAGGUAGCGAAAUUCCUUGUCGGGUAAGUUCCGACCUGCACGAAUGGCAUAACGAUGGCCACACUGUCUCCUCCCGAGACUCAGUGAAGUUGAAAUGUUUGUGAUGAUGCAAUCUACCCGCGGCUAGACGGAAAGACCCCAUGAACCUUUACUGCAGCUUUGCAUUGAACUGUGAACCGAUUUGUGUAGGAUAGGUGGGAGGCAGAGAAGAGGCCACGCCAGUGGUCUUGGAGCCGACCUUGAAAUACCACCCUGAUUUGUUUGCGGUUCUAACCACGGACAGUGAUCCUGUCUUGGGACCGUGCAUGGUAGGCAGUUUGACUGGGGCGGUCUCCUCCUAAAGGGUAACGGAGGAGUACGAAGGUACGCUAGGUACGGUCGGAAAUCGUGCUGAUAGUGCAAUGGCAAAAGCGUGCUUGACUGCGAGAGCAACAACUCGAGCAGAUGCGAAAGCAGGUCAUAGUGAUCCGGUGGCUCUGAAUGGAAGGGCCAUCGCUCAACGGAUAAAAGGUACUCCGGGGAUAACAGGCUGAUACCGCCCAAGAGUUCAUAUCGACGGCGGUGUUUGGCACCUCGAUGUCGGCUCAUCUCAUCCUGGGGCUGUAGUCGGUCCCAAGGGUAUGGCUGUUCGCCAUUUAAAGAGGUACGUGAGCUGGGUUUAAAACGUCGUGAGACAGUUUGGUCCCUAUCUGCCGUGGGCGUUGGAAGAUUGACGGGGGCUGCUCCUAGUACGAGAGGACCGGAGUGGACGCACCUCUGGUGUACCGGUUGUCACGCCAGUGGCAUUGCCGGGUAGCUAAGUGCGGAAGAGAUAACCGCUGAAAGCAUCUAAGCGGGAAACUUGCCUGAAGAUGAGUCUUCCCGGAGGUUGAACCUCCCUCAAGAGUCGUCCGAGACCAGGACGUCGAUAGGUCAGGUGUGUAAGCGCUGUAAGGCGUUGAGCUAACUGAUACUAAUUGCUCGUGAGGCUUGAUCCU
rnacentral:rRNA from 1 species